ACGGAAGCAGCAGUGGGGAAUAUUGCACAAUGGGCGAAAGCCUGAUGCAGCGACGCCGCGUGAGUGAAGAAGUAUUUCGGUAUGUAAAGCUCUAUCAGCAGGAAAGAAAAUGACGGUACCUGACUAAGAAGCCCCGGCUAACUACGUGCCAGCAGCCGCGGUAAUACGUAGGGGGCAAGCGUUAUCCGGAUUUACUGGGUGUAAAGGGAGCGUAGACGGUUGUGCAAGUCUGAAGUGAAAUGCCGGGGCUCAACCCCGGAACUGCUUUGGAAACUGUAAAACUGGAGUGCAGGAGAGGUAAGUGGAAUUCCUAGUGUAGCGGUGAAAUGCGUAGAUAUUAGGAGGAACACCAGUGGCGAAGGCGGCUUACUGGACUGUAACUGACGUUGAGGCUCGAAAGCGUGGGGAGCAAACAGGAUUAGAUACCCUGGUA
rnacentral:rRNA from 1 species